rnacentral:misc_RNA from 1 species
GGUCAGACUGAUUCUCAGCGUGGAGUCAGCCAGGGAGGAUGUGUUGCCUCCUUGUUUUUGAUGACUUUUGAUUGAUUUUGUGGAAUUGGACUGUGUGUUCAGUAUGUGGACUAAAUGCAUCAAGAUGACAUUGGAAUCAAAUAUUAACCAACAUGCUAUUCAAAAUAUAAUUCCGAUAGAAGAAUAAAUUGUUAUUGCUUCAGUUUAUAGCAUAAAGUCGAAAUUGUAUUUCAUUGCAAGCAAUUUUAUGUUGUUCAUUGAUUGAGUGGGGAAACAAAUAUUGAUCAAACAUAAUCAAGUCGACUAUUAUCCUUCGUCAUUAGCAUGACAAUAUAUGUAGGGUUGGUAGGUUGUAUUGACUUUUGAUAUUGAUGAACCAUUUUAAGAUAGCCGAAGGGAACACGUUACAGCUACAACUGUUAAGGAACUAAGUGUAUGACACCAGUAUAAACCGUUCAUCUCAUUAAUGACGUGUGCUCAUUAAGGUAGCUGUUGUGACUGUUUCUUUGCUCCAUGGCAGCGCCGACUUACAUGUAUCAUUUAUGGAAAGUGUGGCGGCGUGAGGAAUUACCCUUGCAAUACUCAAUGGACUUGCUGGACUCUCCCCAGAGAUACAGGUGCUCUUUCCUCACUAGGCGUCGGUCCAGUGUAGGUCGAACCAUGGAGGUGGAUAGUGACCUGCAGUGUCCAAUUUGUCUCGAGCUGUUCAACUAUCCCAUAAUCCUCCCCUGUUCUCACAUCCUGUGCCGAUCCCCGUGUGCGGAGAAUCUGUUUGACUUUGACUUCAUCCGCUGCCCUGUGUGCCGUGACAACUGUUACAUCAGCGGAGGCAUCUCGAGUCUGCCAAGAGUUAUCACCCUUGAGAACAUCAUCGACAAGUACAAGGCAGAGCGACGCAAGGAUCAGGAAGAACAAGAAGCCCUCGCCGUCAGCUCAGAAACAUCAUCGGAUGGAAUUUUGUGCCAGUUGUGUGAGAAUUCCCCCAGACUUGCAAAGAAGUCGUGUCUUGAUUGCAAUGCAUCUUAUUGCUCAAACUGUCUCCGUUUGUCACAUCCAAACAGAGAACCAUUCACAGAUCAUGAACUGAUUGAACCCCGGAAGGAGCUCCGGGCAUCAUUAGCGCUAUGCUCUGAACAUGGAGAAGCUCUGAGUCUGUUCUGUCAUCAAUGUCGGCGGCCAUUUUGUCUGGCAUGUGAUGAAGCUGAGCUUCAUGUUGACCACCCUACUGUCUCCAUUGAAGAGGGAUACGCAAAACUGAAACUUAACCUGAAGGAGAGUCUGGAGCGACUGACCGACAGCCAGUGCAAGAUGAUGACCACUCUCAAACUGCAGCAGGAUCACCUCAAGGACAUGCAGCUGCUGGUGGACAGGAAGCGGGAUGAUAUCAACAUGCAGUGUGACUCUCUGCUGGCGGAGGUAGAAAACAAGCGUAGCUUCUUCCUGGCCGACCUUGAGAACGAGGAGCGGGUCAGACAGAACACUGUGGAGGAAGUCAUUAAACUGUUUGAGAAGAUCCUGGGAUCCUCCCAAAGUCUUCAGACCUACACCGAGGACAUACUGAAGCGGGACCCUGCUUCCUUCCUGGAGGUUGCUUCAGCACUGAAUGAAAGGAUAUCCAAGGCUGAGACUGACUGUGAGAGCUGCCAGUACCAGCCAUGUGACCUUGGUAGCCUCAAGGCCAAGAUUGUGGAUUUCAAGAGGGAGAAGGCAGCACUGAGAGAUCUCCACUACCUGACAGCCCCCUCCACCCCCAUCAUUGAUGUGACUAAGUGUUCCCGUAGUGAAGACGCAGUAGCACUAGUGGUGUCGUCGUCCAGGGUGUGCCAGGAGGUCAUUGACAGCUAUGAACUCCGCUACUGCACCGAGGAACAAAAGAGUGUAGGAAUAGAGGACACAGUGACUGUGAGGAGCUGCCCCGAAGACAGGCAGAUCAUCAAGGGCUUGAGUCAGAGCAGCAGCUGUGAGGUCCUGCUGCUGGAGAAUCUGUACCGAGCCACCACCUACUACUUCUGUCUGUCUGCUGUCAACUCAGGCGGGAAGAGUGCCAACUCUGAGGUGGUGCAGUGUCGCACUCUCAGUCAGAGCGAGAGCGUUGUCCCAGUGCCGGUGAUCCUGGAGACGUUGUGCCGCCGCUUCAUGUCGUCAAUACAGGUGUGCAGCUCCAGCCCCCUGGACGUUGCCAUCGAGCAGAAGAUCUCCCACUUCCUGCUGUAUCGGCCAUCAGACCGGGGUCAUCACUGUCUCUGGAAGAGCGUGUCUUUGUAUGGGCGCCAGGAACAUCGUGUGUUUGGCUUAGAGCCGAACACGGAAUAUAUGUUUGUGAUUAUGGCUUGUAACUCUCGUGGGGAAUGUCAGCUUUCUAACAGAGUCUCACUACAGACAGAGCUGUCUGCCAUUUGAGAAAGUUGUGAUGACAGUGACACUACAGACAGAGCUGUCUGCCAUUUGAGAAAGUUGUGAUAACAGUGUCACUACAGACAGAGCUGUCUGAUAUUUGAUGCUGUAGAUGGUUGUGAUAACAGUCUCACUACAGACAGAGCUGUCUGCCAUUUGAUGCUGUAGAAAGUUGUGGCAACUCUCUCCCUACAGACAGAGCUGUCUGCCAGUUUACUGCUAUAGAAGGUUGUGACAACAUCCUUGCAUUACACAUAGCUUUAUUGAUACUAUACAAGGGUUGACAACAGAGCUGCCCUCAUCUGCAUUAUAAAGGAAACAGCCAAGUAUUCCCUGUCUGUCAUUGCAUGAGGGUGUGGACUCGCUUCUGCUCAAGAUACUAACGGUACUGUCCACCCACCAAAUACAAGUUUCGCUCACUACACAAGUGCAAUACAUGCACAGGUAUAAAUAUCUAAUAACUUUGUUCAUCCUGUGAGUGGAUGUUUAUUACUAAUGUUCCAACAGUUUAACCCAUGAUGUAGAAUGAGUACUUGUACAAUAUUAAUACAAUGUUCCAGAAUUUAAGAAAGCAGAUGAUUCUUAGUCUGGACAAUACUGUACUCAACAGUGACUGCACUAGUUAAAAAACUCACCAUUACAUCUUUGUGUUAGCCAAAAUGUACAACCCCACUAUCAGAAAUAUCCAUGGCAUGUCUGUGUUUCUCCAUCAGAUACAUCCUAAUGUUCAACAUGCUUUCCUUUGAGCAGAUAAUGUAUUUUUGUAAACAACCCAUGCUCAUGUAUUUUGCCUCAAGUCUACACAACUCAAAGGCCUGACAUGGUCAGUGUGAGAGUAGAACUAGAUGGACACAUAUCCUAUGUCUAACAGGAGUGUGCGAGUAAGCUUUUACCUGCUUUCAGCAAAAUCCCAGCAAUAUCACAGCAGUGGACACCAGAAAUUGGUUCACUCAUUGUACCCUUUUGGGGAAUCAAACCCUGGCCUUCUGUAUGAUAAGCCAACACACUAACCAAUAGACUACCCCACCACCUCUCACCAGGAGGAGCCCGAGAAGGGAAGUUCUACUUACCAAUGGUGCUGCACAUUAACGUUGUUGUCCUCACUGCCACAGUAUUAUAGAGGGGGAAGACAGAACCAAGUUGUGUACCCC